GUCUCUGGCUGCAGUCGUAGCUCCAGGUCUUUUCUUCUCUGUUCUGUGUCUUCUGCUCCUAGAGGCCCAGCUUCUGUGUCCCUGUGACCUGUAGGUAUUGGGAGAUCCACAGCUAAGAUGCCAGGACCCCCUGGGAAGCCUAGAAAAAUGACGGGGUUUCGCUGUGUUGGCCGGGCUGGUCUCCAGCUCCUAACCGCGAGUGAUCGCCAGCCUCGGCCUCCCGAGGUGCCGGGAUUGCAGACGGAGUCUCGUUCACUCAGUGCUCAAUGGCGCCCAGGCUGGAGUGCAGUGGCGUCAUCUCGGCUCGCUACAACCUCCACCUCCCAGCCGCCUGCCUUUGCCUCCCAAAGUGCCGAGAUUGCAGCCUCUGCCCGGCCGCCACCCCGUCUGGGAAGUGAGGAGCGUCUCUGCCUGGCCGCCCAUCGUCUGAGAUGUGGGGAGCACCUCUGCCCCGCCUCCCCAUCUGGGAUGUGAGGAGCGCCUCUGCCCGGCCGCCAUCCCAUCUAGGAAGUGAGGAGCGUCUCUGCCCCGCCGCCCAUCGUCUGAGAUGUGGGGAGCACCUCUGCCCCGCCUCCCCAUCUGGGAUGUGAGGAGCGCCUCUGCCCGGCCGCGACCCCAUCUGGGAGGUGAGGAGCGUCUCUGCCCGGCCGCCACGUCUGAGAAGUGAGGAGCCCCUCUGCCCGGCCACCACCCCGUCUGGGAGGUGUACCCAACAGCUCAUUGAGAACGGGCCAUGAUGACAAUGGCGGUUUUGUGGAAUAGAAAAGGGGGAAAGGUGGGGAAAAGAUUGAGAAAUCGGAUGGUUGCUGUGUAUGUGUAGAAGGAAGUAGACAUUGGAGACUUUUCAUUUUGUUCUGUACUGGGAAAAAUUCUUCUGCCUUGGGAUCAUGUUGAUCUGUGACCUUACCCCCAACCCUGUGCUCUCUGAAACAUGUGCUGUGUCCACUCAGGGUUAAAUGGAUUAAGGGCGGUGCAAGAUGUGCUUUGUUAAACAGAUGCUUGAAGGCAGCAUGCUCCUUAAGAGUCAUCACCACUCCCUAAUCUCAAGUACCCAGGGACACAAACACCGCGGAGGGCCGCAGGGUCCUCUGCCUAGGAAAACCAGAGACCUUUGUUCACUUGCUUAUCUGCUGACCUUCCCUCCACUAUUGUCCUAUGACCCUGCCAAAUCCCCCUCUGCGACAAACACCCAAGAAUGAUCAAUAAAAAAAAAAAAAA
rnacentral:lncRNA from 1 species